rnacentral:rRNA from 1 species
AUUGAACGCUGGCGGAAUGCUUUACACAUGCAAGUCGAACGGCAGCACGGACUUCGGUCUGGUGGCGAGUGGCGAACGGGUGAGUAAUGUAUCGGAACGUGCCCAGUCGUGGGGGAUAACGUAGUGAAAAUUACGCUAAUACCGCAUACGAUCUAUGGAUGAAAGCGGGGGAGCGCAAGACCUCGCGCGAUUGGAGCGGCCGAUAUCAGAAUAGGUAGUUGGUGGGGUAAAGGCCCACCAAGCCAACGAUCUGUAGCUGGUCGGAGAGGACGACCAGCCACACUGGAAAUGAGACACGGUCCAGACUCCUACGGGAGGGAGCAGUGGGGAAUUUUGGACAAUGGGCGAAGGCCUGAUCCAGCCAUUCCGCGUGGAGGAUGAAGGCCCUCGGGUUGUAAACUGCUUUUGUACAGAACGAAAAGGUUUCUACUAAUACUAGGAGCUCAUGACGGUACUGUAAGAAUAAGCACCGGCUAACUACGUGCCAGCAGCCGCCGUAA